rnacentral:rRNA from 1 species
AGCGAACGUUAGCGGAGGGCCUAACACAUGCAAGUCGAGCGAGAAAGGGACUUCGGUCCUGAGUAAAGCGGCGGACGGGUGAGAAAUACGUAGGUAACCUGCCUUUCACUGGGGGACAACGGUCCGAAAGGACCGCUAAUACCGCAUACGUCAUCCGGGACCUCGGUUCGGGAUGGGAAAGCUGGGGCAACCUGGCGGUGGAAGAGGGGCCUGCGUCGCAUCAGCUAGGUGGUGGGGUAACGGCCUACCAAGGCUAAGACGCGUAGCUGGUCUGAGAGGAUGAGCAGCCACACUGGGACUGAGACACGGCCCAGACUCCUACGGGAGGCAGCAGUGGGGAAUAUUGGACAAUGGGCGCAAGCCUGAUCCAGCCACGCCGCGUGAGUGAUGAAGGCCUUCGGGUCGUAAAGCUCUGUGGGGAGGGACGAACCGCCGGUAGCUAAUACCUAUCGGCAUGACGGUACCUCCUUAGCAAGCACCGGCUAACUUCGUGCCAGCCGCCGCCGUAAAAC